CCUACGGGAGGCAGCAGUGAGGAAUAUUGGUCAAUGGUCGGGAGACUGAACCAGCCAAGCCGCGUGAGGGAUGAAGGUACAGAGUAUCGUAAACCUCUUUUGUCAGGGAACAAAGGCGGGGACGUGUCCCCGGAUGAGUGUACCUGAAGAAAAAGCAUCGGCUAACCCCGUGCCAGCAGCCGCGGUAAUACGGAGGAUGAGAGCGUUAUCGGGAUUUAUUGGGUUUAAAGGGUGCGCAGGCGGUCUGUUAAGUCAGCGGUAAAAGCCCGGGGCUCAACCCCGGCCCGCCGUUGAAACUGGCAGUCUCGAGUUGGAGAGAAGUAUGCGGAAUGCGAGGUGUAGCGGUGAAAUGCAUAGAUAUCGCGCAGAACUCCGAUUGCGAAGGCAGCAUGCCGGCUCCACACUGACGCUGAGGCACGAAAGCGUGGGUAUCGAACAGGAUUAGAUACCCGUGUAGUC
rnacentral:rRNA from 1 species